GCCCGUAUAGAGUAAUAGAAACUCGUUGGACCCCUAUGCGCGAAAAAAAGGCGUAAGGUGACAGCCAAGGAUCUGGGUGCAAAUCCCAGUGCGGGUA